ACAGCUUGCAGGGACAAGUGCCAGGGAUGGAAGUGGUGCAGAACCAGCUAAGAUCAAGUGUAGUAUCUACUCUUUGAUAAGUUCUCAAUGAGAGUACUUCAUAUUAAAUGAAUUUUUGAACUCUGUAGUUGGAUUUGGAGCUUGUUCCCUCCACUCUGUGCAUUGUCCUGAUACUGUGGACAUAGCACUGAAAGACAU
rnacentral:snRNA from 1 species